rnacentral:lncRNA from 1 species
ACAGGACAACUCGGCGCGGGUCUCGCAGGUGCAGAACCGGGCGCCUCGGGGUGCGGGGUGGGCUGGGCGGACAAGCCUGCGCCCGCGAUUGCAGCCCCGUGACCCCGGCCCCCGCCCCGGCCCCUGCCCUCGGGGGCGCGCUGUGAGGUCGGAGACCCAGAGAAGCGGGGAGGGAGCGGAGGAGGCGAAGACGGCCUGACACCUGCUUUCCUCGCAGGCUCCCGGGCUCAGGAUUCUUAGGGAAAAGUAAGCCAGAGGAGACGUAAACAGUGACUCCUGAAGCAACAAGGACCCAUCCAUGCAUGAUAGUUUAUCAGGAUGCUCCUGGCUGUAACAGAAACCCCAGUUAAACAGCGGCGUAACCAAUGGAAAGUUAAACACUUGUGUAACUGGAUACCCAGUGGGAGAAUGAGCCUGUGACCAGCAGUGUCAUCAUGGACCUUGCUUCUUUCCAUCUCUCAGAUCUGCUAUUUGCAGCAUCAGCUUUAUCCCAAGGCUGCUUCUUUGAGAGGUCAAGGGUUGUAAAGUGUCCAUAGGUUUUCCUUUCGGCCGGGACUUCCUGACCUUGGCACCGUUGACAUUUUGGGCUGAAUAAUUUUUGUAGGGGGCUGUUCUUUUGCAUUGUAGGAUGUUUAGCACAUCCAUGGUUUCUCUCCCCUAGAUGCCAGAGUUCUUCUCCAGUCGGGACAACCAAAAAUGUCUCUAGACAUUGCCCAAUGUCUCUGGGGGUCAAAAUUGCCCCCAGGUAAGAACCAGGUGUGCUUACUGGCAAUCUGAGGCUCACAUGACCAUACUUGAACUAGUUAUUGGGGCAAAGGGAGUGGGCUACUCUGAUUUAGUCAAAUUAAGAUUUGUACUUGAAGCUGCCGGUGGAGUUGGCUUCCCUCAAAGUCUGUGGCCAGGGGGAAGGGGUGGGAUCCUUACACAAAAUUCAGAUAGGAGGUAGGAAAUAAUUCUUGGGAGGUAGUCAUGUCCAUGACACCCGGCUUUUGAUGACAUUUUCUUUCAUCGAUUUUUCCUUUGACACCCUAUUCCUAUAUAUCUGGGGGUUAUUCUUUAAAUACAUGCAUUUAUCUAAAUUUGUAGAUUUCUAAUAAUAUGUAUUGUUAAAUAGCAUCUAUAUCCCCCGCCCCCCCCAGAACCUAAGGCAAGAACAAAGAAAUCUGGGCAAGUUUUAACUUCCUUCUGGAAUUCCCUACUGGCAACUUCCAUGUUGAUUUUGUUUAGAUUAUAAUUUAAAAAUUUUAUACAGGCAAUACUUAGAUGUUAAUAUGUUAAUAUGUUUUCAUAACCUAUU